rnacentral:lncRNA from 1 species
GCCGGUCGCCGCCUCCCGGCCUUCGCCCAGCGCUGGAUCUGCUCCCCUUUGCGGGUUGUGCCCGGCUGCCCUAGCCCACGGGUCACCCAAGGGACGGGACUUCUGGACACGGGCUCUGUGCCCUCUCCUGUUGCCUGCUGCUUCCCACUAGUGUCUAGGGUGGAGACCGGGGUGGGAACGCAGGGCGCCUGCUCCGGUCCUAGGAUCCAAGCCUCUCCCCGGGACCGCCGGGGGGCGGGCUACGCCUCGGGAGCUCGGCAGCUUCUCCGAGCUGCUUCGGCCGGUUCUCUUUCCCCUAAUUGGCCUCUCCCGGAUGUGUUCACUUGGAAGCGCCGAAGCCUUGGGGGCAUCCACUAUUCCCUGGGCGCUGCCUGAGCCCUUCCAACUACUUUGAGCCUGUCCAGUCAGACUGGAAGUGGAAGGACUCCCUUCCCGGUGAGACGGUCUAGGUGAAGCGUGGUUGAAGGUUUGGCUCCCUGGCCAGGAAGCGUCACCUCAAAGCUCCUGGAACGCCCCCAGGGGCGCUCUGAAUUAUAGAUCGUGUUUGGUGUGUUUCAGGGUUCUUGUCCCGUUUAAAGUCAUAAAGCUACCUCACUGUGCUGUGACGAGCUGAGCUGCCGUUUGGCGGCGACGUGGUUGGAGGUAGCAUCAAAGUAGAGGCCGAUGUCCUAGAGGAGGGGGGGGGUCUCAGCAUUGCAGGACGACACAAACUCUAGAGACUGCCCCAUUGGUUUCCCCUCCGGCGAAAUUUCGAAAUAAGACCUUUUUAUUAAUAAUAACAGUACCCUCUCGGAUUCCCCCAAGCCUUCCGGAAAAAGUACGUAUUUACACUUGGCAGAGAUUUUUACAUAGUCAUGGUCCUGACCAUAAAGUUCUAGAUCCUUGGCUCAAUCGACUGAGCUUGGUCCUUUGUGCCCCAGCUCUGGAGUGACCACUUUUGCGUGCCCUCAGUGGCCAGUGGAGGCGCGCUGGUGUCGCUGUUCCUUUUGAAUACCCUUUUCCAGUCGUGAUUUGUCAGUCACUCUGACCAUCAAGUUCUGACUUUGUAGGAGUGUUACCCAGGACUAUCUGGUUCUGACUGCCUGAUGCUGACUCACGGUUGUUUUUUUUUUUUUUUCCCUGACUCUGAUAUCAUUGACUCAACACAACGUGAGAGCAAGAGAUUCCAAAGGGGUCGUCAAAGUGAGCGGAAGGAGCGAAUCAUAGAACAAUCAUGAACUUCAUGAUGUGCAGGAGAGAAGGCGGCAGGCAGCUUCCAAGGCCACAUCCGUCAUACACAGAACUCAAACUCUCCCUGGAGCCACAAGGGCGGAAUUGCCUGAAUGAUCACCGCAUGCAUAAUACUCAAACCCUAGUGGCAACAUCAUGAAAUAAUAUCUCACCGGGUAACUAUUUACAUUUUUUUUUUUUUAACAAGCUGUAAGAACUUCGUAAAGUCUGUCUUGUAGAGAACUUGGUUUCCCUUCCCUGCGUUUAAUAUCUUUCAGCAGCUGACAAUUACUGCCUUGGCCACAAGCCCUGAGUUAGCACAGUGCACUGGGCUCUGGAGGUUUCCUCAGCUGCCCCACCCCAGGCUUCAGACACUGCCUGGGGCAUGACAGGGUCACUGAGGACUGGUGGCAGGGAACUGGCAAGAGUCAGGCCAGCCAGGCUCACAGGAAGACUUCUCUUGUGAUGAAAGGGACUCAGGGGUCAGUCACCGCAGGUGUCUCAGGGCAUUUUGUCUUACCUCCCAAGGGACUUCGGAUACACUGUUUUUCUUCCCUCUGUGUUAACUUUCCAGUGGUGCUUGGCUAUCAGGGCAGUAGCUGAUACAGUUCUAAACAUUUUGUAUCCACUGUCGCAGAACCCUUGCCCUAAUCACAGAGGAAGACAGAGGAGCCCAGAAAGCGUAAGCAGUUACCUAAGACCCAGUGCAGUAAGUGCCCUGUCAUUUCUCUCCUCUCUAGACGGGCUUCUUUUUUGGCUGAUCCACCUCCUCUUCCUUCUCUUUUACCUCUUUCUUUGAGCUUUUCCUUCUGGUGUUAGGAAUCAAACCUAGGGCAUCACUCAUGCAUGGCAAGGACUCUGAGCUGUAACCCCAGCCGUAAGUCUGUUUUUACAUAUGCAGGGCUACUUAUUUAUAUCUCAUUUCAACAUAGUCAUGAAAAAUUUAAGGUAGACACUGGAGUUUACAAAGUGACAUGUACAUAUACACAUACACAUACACAUAUAGUCACGUGAAAGGAUCCAUCCCCUCCCUCCACCAUGCAAUUAUGGGAGGCAGGAUCUUGCUAUAUAAUCCAGACUGGCCUUGAACUCAACAAUCCUCCAGCCUUAGCCUGUGUGUUUGUGCACGCACGUGCACAUGCACAUGCACACAUGCACUUGAGGAGUGUGUGGGUGGAGGUCAGAGAACACCUUAUAUAGGAGUUGGCUUUCUCCUUCUAUCAUGUGGGCCCUGAAUCUCAAACUCAGGUGGUUAGGCAGGACUGCGAGGGCCUUUACCUACUGAGUCUUAUCUCUGCUACCCAAGUGAGUUUUUGUGUUACUCUGCUUACAACAAAGUUCAGAGUUAUUCUGGGCAGGUUUUAUUAUCUCUUGUGUCAGAUGAAGGCAUAGGCUCUAAGAGCUGGAGGGAGAGUUUGAAAGUCAUGUCACCCAGCAAAAACGUUGGUGGGAGUGGGGCAGGGCGCGAAGUGAGUUAGUUCUUCUUAACUCCUUCCUGUUGCGGAUCUGCUCCGUGGAUGGGGUGGGGGUGUGGUAGCUCCUGAUAAAAGGAGGAGGAGUUUACUCCUUUUCCUCCCCCAGGAAUCUCCUUUAGAGAUGUGGAGGGAAGAGGGACAGAAGGAAAUGUAGACCACCGCUUAUCUUCAAGCCUGUCCUUUUGAUUCAGACCUUUGAGCAGGGCUCUUUGAAGAGGUGUUUUCCUCUUAUCUCCCAUCAGCCGCAGGGAGCCAUACAGACCCGGGUCAGGGGGAUGUGGUAGGGUAGGUGUGCUUUUGAAGUCGGCCUCCCUUGCUUGUUCUGCCCCCAUACAUCAGCCUGGUCAUUCAUCUUUGAUUACUUUCAUCCAUUUAGGUUUAUCUGUUUCUGAGAAAAACUCCCUGAUGUUGGGGACUAAGGGUCUCCCACAGGCUAGAUACUUGCUCAAUUGCUCAGCCCCAAAACUUCUCUCUUAAGCUGUAAAUAUUGCUGGGGCUAUAUCUCACCCUCUAGCAGUCUGCACUGAGACAGCCCACAGAGAGGGCUGCAUAUAGGGCACUGUGCACUUACUGGGAUGCCAGAUGCUGCUCUGAGCAGCCAGUGGGUGCUAAUUCAUUUAUUUCUUGCAACAAAUCAAUCAGGUGGGUACUAGUGUUGUGCCUAUCUUAUAGGUGAUACACCGAGACCCAGAGAGGUUGAGCAGUUUGCCAGGUUACCCAGCCAGGAGGUGGUAGAGCUGAUAUUAUAGGGCAGGUAGGUGGUUCCCAGGCUGUUUGCAAGGGCAGAGCCCAAGAGGGAGGAAUUUGCUCAAGGUGGGGAAUAAAAAAAGCCAGCAGGGCACACUGAAAACAAAUGACUUUCAUAAUUUUCUGGAGAGUUGCACACGCCCAUCGGGAUUUCCCUUCAUCGUGAGAAAUGAGGAAUAUGGUAUUGAGGAAACUGAGGCCCGGAAAGGAGCGGAGGGAACAUUCAUUUGCCCGUUUAAUUGGAUUGGACUGAUUAAUUCAAUGACUCAUCCUCUCAGUGACUAAUUAUUGACCACUUUAUAGGUAUGGGCCAGAGGCAGUCCCCAGAGGAUAAAGACAGACAGCUGUGUGGGAUGGGACCCAGACUCCCAUCUCUCGGAUGCCCAUUUCAGUGUCUCAGGAAAGGGAUUGUGGGCCUUGCCCUUGAGCAUCCUGGCCUCUUAUACAGAUUAAACAGCAACAGAAAACCGAGGCAGCCUGAUCUUAACUCCUGCUUAAUGUCUGCUGUAGUCGGAAUAUGAAAUGUUCCUAAAGACUCGUGUGCUGAAGGGUUGGUCCCCAAAGUAGUGUCUAUCAGUGGUGAGCCUCUGGGAAAAGACUAGAUUAGGAAGACUAGGACUUUAAUAAAAAUAUUUAAAUUAUUUAUUUAUUUGUGUGUGUGUGUGUGUGUGUGUGUGUGUGUGUGUGUUCAGGUGCCCACAGAGGGCAGAAGAGGAUGUCAGAUCCCCUGAACUGAGGUUACAGGUAGAUGUGAGUCCCCCAGUAUGGGUGGGUGCAGGGAAUUGAACUGGGAUCCUCUGCAAGGGCAGCAAGUGUUCUUAAGCCCUAAGACACGUCCCCAGCCCUAAUCAAUGGCUUUAUCAGGUGAUAAAUUAAUUAUUCCCUGGCUUUUCCAGAUGCUGGAGGAGAUUGGGAGGUGGAGCUUAGCUGGAGAGAGCAGGUUUCUAGACUGUCACCCUGAAAGAGGGUACUGGGUCCCUGCUCUAUGACUUGCUAACUCCACUCUCUGGCUACCAUGAGGGCAGUGGCUUUGCUGUGCCACAAGUUUUCUGCCAUAAUGUGUGGUCUUACUUCAAGCCCAGAGUGAGGGAGCUGAGAGAGACACCAUGCACUGAACCCUUUGAAACCAGAAGGCUUCAAAAUAAAUCUUUCACCCUGUUUUUUUGUUUUGUUUUGGUUUGGCUUUUGUUGUUUUUGUUUGUUUUGUUUUGGUUACAAUGAUGGAGCACUACCACUCGCAAGAACACUUGCUAUCAAGUCCAGGCUGUCCUGGAAUUUUCUUAUGUAGUCCAUGUUGGUCUGCAAUUCCUUGACUGCCUUCCCCCCGAAUUCUAAGUACCAGGUCGAUAGGCGCAUGCCUGGUAACUCAAAGAUGAAGUCAGCUUUCUGCUAACAUUGAUUGAACAAUGUCUGGGGUGCAGAUAUCAUUCUAGGUGCGUUUGGACAGUGGUCACUUAUACAUAAGGAGAAUCAUUAAGGACCAUGAAAGGACUCUUCAGUGGGAAACAGGGACCAUGGCUACCCCAGGGAGUCUCCUCAUUCUGCCUUCUGAGUUAACAACUGGAGCCAACGGGAAUCCAUGCCCUGGGGAGAUCUGGGUGGGUGGCCAUCUGUGGGCAUGUGAGAGAUGAUGUCUUCUGGUUUUGACCUUUCUUGUGAGAAUUGGCCAUGAAGGUAAUGGUAUCUGUGUGGUUUUCCCUCCAGAUUUGUUCACUGUGCUCCUUCCUAAGCCAUCUAAGAUGUGGAGUCCCAAACCCAAUUAUGUAAACAUUCUUUAAAAAAAAAAUCAAAUGCCUGUCCACAGCAUGGUGGAUACCUGAAAUCCUGGCAUUCAGGAGGCUGAGGUUAGACAGUCAUGAGUUUGAGGCUGGCCUGGGCUAUGGAGCAAGACCAUAACUCAAAACAGUGAAAAGAAAAAGAAAAACAUGAACAGAAAUAGAGUUUCUUAGAUAAUGUUUUGGUUAUUGCAACUAGUGUCCAGUAAAGAUGAAUUCGCAAGAUGUUAGAAAAAUUCAAGGGGUAUUUAUUUUGAUACCCCACCUCCACUUCCAGCUUCUGCCCGGUGAAUGACUGGAGGAGCUGGGUCUCCACCAAGCUUAUGUCAAAGGAGAGAGGCCAUUCAGAACAGGUAUGUGUGUGUGUGCGUUAAAAGGGACUUAAACUUGCUUUCUGUUGAAAAAAGAUUUUUCUUUGUUCAGGAGGAGGUGCAUUCCCAUGGCACGGGCAUUCUGAAGUUGUAAGCAGGAGAGUGAGAACAGACCUUUGUUCCCUACUCAGAACUUCACAGCUGUGAGCUUGUUGUGCGCCUUCCUGGAGGUUGCUUACACAUUAGCAAAUAUGUAUCUAUUCGCAGCCCCCACCCCCACCUUAUACACAGAUGGACACAAAACACAAGCUACUCUGAACUUUAAAAAAAAAAAAAAACAAAGUGAUAUACUUUAGAGAUCUUGCAGUGAGUGGUUGUGUCUUAUUUAAUUUCCCCAGUGUCUUUCAUGGUAUUGUUCCGUGAUGUGCCUGGGUUUAUUUAACUAGUUCCCUGCUGAUGGCUAUGUAAAUGUAGUAUUUCCAUUCAGCGUGCGUUUGCAUGUAUGUGAAUGGAUUCAUGGGAAGCUGAAGGAGAAAGUUGACUUGAAGUCAACUUUGUCUCAUUACUAACCUUCCGGGUCUCCCUUAGUCACUGGGCCAAAGCUCAUACUUUGUGAGUGGCCAUUUCUUCAAGAUGAAGAAAAGGGUCUGGAAAGGUUAGAGUCUCUGGAUAGACUUAACUCUAGGGUACCUAAAGAACUCCAGUUCCUACUGACAGUUCCUCUCGGGGACUGUCAGCCUGACAUGUAGAGAACUUGUUUAGGUACCUGUGGGUGCCUGUCAAGAUCUGAGCUUGAUAGUUAACAUAGCUGCUGUAUGUUAAGUCGUCUCUGUUUUCCUCGUCAAUUUCCUUAAAUAGACCAAUGUGCGAAUGAUUGGAAACUAAAUGAAUCUCCAAACAGCUGUUAGUCCAUGUUCUGUAACUAUAACAAAAUAUUUGAGGCUAGGCAGCUUAUACUGAAAGGAGGUUCAUUGAGCCCUUAGUGUAGAGGCCCAGAGACUAAAUGGCCUCUCUCUGGUGCGUCUUCCCCCCCUUGCUGUGUGACAUCAUGGCAGUAAUAUGUGUGAGAAGGAAGGAGAGAGAACAUGGUUAUACCGGAAGUCAAGAAAGACCUGGAACCCCCCCAAAACUACACAGAUCCAGUCUAAUCAGACAGUCCCAAUGACCUCUUAGCACCCAGCUCUUAAAGGGUCCAUCGAUUUUUCACGUUAUCACACGGAGCACCCAAUUCCCAGCAAUAAACAAUAAACCAUAUCUAAAGACAGCAAACCCUAUCUAAACCACCCCAACAGCCGGAGUAGAAAAGCCACAGCAGUUAAAAGCUGAGUGGAAUGGGGCUCUUUCUCCCCAGGCAACACUAGAGUUGAACAGGCUCUCACAGGUCUGUCCUCUAUCUCUGCUGUGAAAUUCUCACCACACCACUGCCGUCAAAAUGCAGAAUGACGAUUUUAUUUAUGACAGGAGACAUGUUUUAAAACAGUUGUUUUAAAACAACUGACAGAGUUGCAAGAUGGGAAACGACAUGAAAGUGAGAUUUUUUUUUUUUUUUUUUUUUUUGGAUAGGGGAGGGGGAUGGGAUGCUGGCAAAGAAGAGCAGGGUUUUCAUUAUUGAAGUUGGAAUCCAUCCUUUCUUCCUUGAGCAGAUAAAGA